UACGUAGGUGGCAAGCGUUGUCCGGAUUUAUUGGGUUUAAAGGGUGCGUAGGCGGCCUAUUAAGUCAGUGCUGAAAUAUCCCGGCUUAACCGGGAGGGUGGCAUUAAUACUGAUGGGCUUGAGUAGAGUUGAGGUUGGCGGAAUUGACGGUGUAGCGGUGAAAUGCUUAGAUAUCGUCAAGAACACCUAUUGCGAAGGCAGCUAACUAAGCUCAAACUGACGCUGAGGCACGAAAGUGUGGGGAUCAAACAGG
rnacentral:rRNA from 1 species